GGGUGGAUUAGUGGCGAACGGGUGAGUAACACGUGGGCAAUCUGCCCUUCACUCUGGGACAAGCCCUGGAAACGGGGUCUAAUACCGGAUAUGAGCCUCCCAGGCAUCUGGGAGGCUGUAAAGCUCCGGCGGUGAAGGAUGAGCCCGCGGCCUAUCAGCUUGUUGGUGAGGUAAUGGCUCACCAAGGCGACGACGGGUAGCCGGCCUGAGAGGGCGACCGGCCACACUGGGACUGAGACACGGCCCAGACUCCUACGGGAGGCAGCAGUGGGGAAUAUUGCACAAUGGGCGAAAGCCUGAUGCAGCGACGCCGCGUGAGGGAUGACGGCCUUCGGGUUGUAAACCUCUUUCAGCAGGGAAGAAGCGAGAGUGACGGUACCUGCAGAAGAAGCGCCGGCUAACUACGUGCCAGCAGCCGCGGUAAUACGUAGGGCGCAAGCGUUGUCCGGAAUUAUUGGGCGUAAAGAGCUCGUAGGCGGCUUGUCACGUCGAUUGUGAAAGCUCGGGGCUUAACCCCGAGUCUGCAGUCGAUACGGGCUAGCUAGAGUGUGGUAGGGGAGAUCGGAAUUCCUGGUGUAGCGGUGAAAUGCGCAGAUAUCAGGAGGAACACCGGUGGCGAAGGCGGAUCUCUGGGCCAUUACUGACGCUGAGGAGCGAAAGCGUGGGGAGCGAACAGGAUUAGAU
rnacentral:rRNA from 1 species